rfam:Mus musculus chromosome 7, GRC primary reference assembly.
UGCUCGCUUUGGCAGCAAUAUACUAAAAUUGGAAGGAUACGGAGAAAAUUAGCAUGGCCCCUGCACAAGAAUGACAAGCAAAUUCAAAAAACGUUCCAUAUUUUU